UUAGCCCUAAACAUAAAUGAUUACUAAAACAAGAUUAUUCGCCAGAGUACUACAGGCAACAGCCUAAAACUCAAAGGACUUGGCGGUGCUUUAUACCCUUCUAGAGGAGCCUGUUCUAUAAUCGAUAAACCCCGAUAAACCUCACCAGUCCUUGCUAAUACAGUCUAUAUACCGCCAUCUUCAGCAAACCCUAAAAAGGAAUAAAAGUAAGCAUAAUUAUUAAUACAUAAAAACGUUAGGUCAAGGUGUAACCUAUGGACUGGGAAGAAAUGGGCUACAUUUUCUACCCUAAGAAUAUCAACACGAAAGUCAUUAUGAAAUUAAUGACCAAAGGAGGAUUUAGUAGUAAACUAAGAAUAGAGUGCUUAGUUGAAUUAGGCCAUGAAGCACGC
rnacentral:rRNA from 1 species